rnacentral:rRNA from 1 species
AUUGCAGUCUGCAACUCGAGUGCAUGAAGCUGGAAUCGCUAGUAAUCGCGGAUCAGAAUGCCGCGGUGAAUACGUUCCCGGGUCUUGUACACACCGCCCGUCACACCAUGGGAGUCGGGAAUGCCCGAAGCCGGUGGCCCAAUCGAGAGAAGGGAGCCGUCGAAGGCAGGCCGGAUGACUGGGGUGAAGUCGUAACAAGGUAGC